ACACACUCUUAUUUCAUCCGGCCUGGGGAGGAGGGGAAAGAGGAAGUCACCUGUGAAAUUGUCUUUGCGCUUUGGACUCAAGCCCCCAGAUGCCUUUGGAUAAUUUCUGCUUGCUAAAGAGGCGGGGCCUUAGUCCUCAUCGGCCGAUGGUUUGGAGACUGAAUCAACUAUCUGAGCCUUCAUCUACCACAUAAGAAUUGCAGCAAACCCUGCAGCUAUCCUGAAGCUGCCAUGCUGAAAAGGCCAAUUGGGAGACCACAUAGAGACCGAGAGAGACUUCCAAGGACUCCAGCCAAUCCUGGGCCCCAGCAGUUUGAAUCUCCCAGCAAUGCCACCAUACAGGAGAGGGAGCAAAUACUCAGAAGAUUCAAGUGCCAGCUGCAUGGGUUGAUACCUACAUAAAAGGCAUUGGCAUUAUUCACAAGAGCCAAGAUAUGGAAAUAACCUGUGUCCAUUGACAGACGAAUAGAUGAGGGAAACGUGGCAUAUACACACAGUGGAAUAUUAUUCGGAAUUAAAAAAAGAAGGAAAUCCUGAAUCCUGCUAUUUCUGACAACAUGAGACUGCAGGACGUUAUGGGAUUCUUUUCCCUGCUGCAUCUGCCUGCUUAUCAGAGGCUCCUGGGAUUCUGAGAGUGAUCUUCUACAGGAAGCCGUUGAGAAGGGCAUUGGGUCUUUUGUUACCAGGCACAAUGAAGGAAUGGAAACUAGGGCUCAGAGGUUUCACUUGCCAGAAGUCACUCGGUCCCUGGGAAGGAUGCAAACCAGCUCACCUGGCUCUCCAGCACAUGCACCCCAGACCACCCCCAAGGAUGUGACCCAUUCCUUCUGUGGAGUCUGAUCUUCCAAACUUUAGACAACAGCUCCUUCUGCAAGCUUUCGAGCCUGCAAGCUAAGGACAUGAAUGAACUGAGUCAUCCCCACAGAGCUUCAUUAAUUUUAAGGCAAUUUAAGAUUUCUGAGUCAUAGGUUUCAGUCAUUUAGAUUUUCCCAGCUGGUACUGUACUUGCCCACACACACUUUUCUUUAAAGAUUGCAUCUGUCUAGAUGUGUGGUUCUGCCCACCCUUCCUCAGUUUCUGAGAAGAAACUCGCCCUCGUGGAGUGCUACAUGCAGGGCUAAGCCAUUUCCAUUUGCCACGUGCAUUAGAGUCUUUGCCUGAGGGAUUAAUGGGAUUAGCAGUCUGCAGCUUGAUCUAGACUCUAUCCACCAGAGACAUGCACAAUUCCAAAUUCUAUAUCCAACACAAUAUUUUACCCAGUCUCCCAAGAAAAUUCAGUUAUGCCAUAUGGUGACUCCACUCACUGAAUAAUAUUUAGCAACUUGAUGAACAAGGACUGAAUCAUAUCUUAACCAUCUUGGCCAAAUAUUGUUUUAUAUAGCAACAGUAUUAGUAAUAUAUAUGUUUUAUUUUUUACACUAGUACUUCCUGCUACGCCCACUGAAAAUUAAGAGCUAGACCUCACUGGAAGUAGACUACACAAUAAAAGAGUUCUCGCUCAUUAGCAACCUCCA
ensembl:lncRNA MIR3681HG MIR3681 host gene